GGGGUGGGAACGCAGCCCUCAGGCUCCGCUGCAGCGCCUGCCUGCUCCCAGCCUCACCUCCGAAGGCUCUCGCCAAGUCGUUGAAUUGCAGAUGCUGGCUCUAACUCACAAUCUUCCUGCCUCAGCCUCCCACUUGGAUUAUAGACAGGCACCAUCACGUGCAGCGACGCCAGAGCUUUUCAGUAGCUGCCCAGGGGUGAGCUGCCCGUCUCUGAGAGGAGGAAGUGGUAACUGGUGGCAGAGACAAGAUCCCUGCCGGACCUUCUGAAAGCCUCCUGACCGCCCACCUUUGUGCCUGGAGUGUCCUGCCCUGAUGGUGCACACCCACGCCACCCCAACCCAGGAGACAUGAAAUGCACAACACACGCAGAAAACACGCACCCUGCGGCUCACAGACGCGCGAGGCACAGCACGCACAGCGCAGAGCGGCUGGUGUGAUGCUGCCGCUCCACCAGCCCACUGCCCGGAGCCUCCAGGACUGGCGGUGGGGGUGGAGGCAGCGCCACCCCGUGAGGAAAGUGUCCAGCAAACCAGCCUGGGCUCCUGCUCUCCCCGGGGCCCACGCCGCAGUGGGGCCGGGUCCCAAGCCGGGUUACAGACGCUGCUGGCAAAUGCUUGGCACCAUCUGGGGAGGACACUCCUGGGCCUGACCCGGGGUGGCCGUGGCUCUCUUAUCUGCAUGGGACCAGAGCUGGCAAUCCACGCCAUAAAUGUUCUUUUCUGCGUCAUUCCGGCUUGGGACUUCGUCAAAAACACCUUGGGGGCUCCGUGCGGAAGGGCCUGGUUUCCAUCUCCAAACCUGAACUGAAAACUGCAGCCCUCGGCAGGAGUGCAGAGAGGAGUGGAUGUGCCCCUCGCAGUGCUCUGCCUUCAUUGCGCCUCGACUUGGCUCGGCACUUGCCGCGAGGUCUCGGGCUGCGUGUGGCCUUGCUCUGGGGGCCCCUCCUGAACUGGCCUCCCUGCGUCCACGUCAGGCACGGUGUGUGCCACGGGGUGCAGCACGGGGAAAGCUGCGGCGCGGCCUGUUUGCAGCCAGGUCGCAGUCACAGCUGGGUCACCGUCUGCACAUCGCCGGCCGUUGCCUGCCUCACUCACCAGCAGCUCACACAGCAAUAGCUCCUGACGUUGCCACUCUGCUGCUGCAUCUGCACUCCUCUGUGUCACGUCUACAUGCCACGCUGCACGUCUCAGGUUUCCCAGCUGAACACAGGACCCAACCACCACCUUGCAAACACCUCUUACCUGCAUCCGGUUGCCAUGGGAACUCAAGGAGAGCCAAGGCUGAAGCCACCUGAGACACCUGAGUCUAGGGCGGGCUUGUAGCCCUCAGAGCAGCCUGUGCAGAUCUCAGUCUCACGGCCACCGGUCAGGGAGGGUGUGCAAGAAGACCUCUCUACGCACAGACGCCACCAGGCCACCAUGGCAUGCACUAUAAAGCAUGUGAGGUAGGACUGACAUGUGAAUGCUUGAAAUUUUAAGACACACUGCCAUGAAUCCCCCUCAAAUACCCCCUCACUUUGAGCACACUCACCCAUGGUCCCUGCCACUUCCUGCAGCGGCUCUGGAGUCCUCUCUCCUGAGGGUCUUCACCAGGUGUGAUAAAGAUACAGUGACUGCUGCUGCCGAGCGCCACCCAACAGAAAGCAGC
ensembl:lncRNA